rnacentral:rRNA from 1 species
AUUGAACGCUGGCGGCAUGCCUUACACAUGCAAGUCGAACGGCAGCACGGGGGCAACCCUGGUGGCGAGUGGCGCACGGGUGAGUAAUGCAUCGGAACGUGUCCUCUUGUGGGGGAUAACCAGUCGAAAGACUGGCUAAUACCGCAUGAGCUCGAGAGAGGAAAGCGGGGGACCGCAAGGCCUCGCGCGAGAGGAGCGGCCGAUGCCGGAUUAGCUAGUUGGCGGGGUAACGGCCCACCAAGGCGACGAUCCGUAGCUGGUCUGAGCGGACGACCAGCCACACUGGGACUGAGACACGGCCCAGACUCCUACGGGAGGCAGCAGUGGGGAAUUUUGGACAAUGGGCGCAAGCCUGAUCCAGCCAUGCCGCGUGUGUGAAGAAGGCCUUCGGGUUGUAAAGCACUUUCGGGCGGAACGAAAUCGCGCGGGUGAACAAUCCGCGUGGAUGACGGUACCGCAAGAAGAAGCACCGGCUAACUACGUGCCAGCAGCCGCAGUAAAAC